AGGGGUGACUAGUGACAGAGUGAGGAAGGGGGUGACACAGUGACAGAGUGAGGGAGGGGGUGACACAGUGACAGAGUGAAGGAGGUGGUGACUGUCACUAGUCACCGCAUCCCUCCCUCUGUCACUAAUCACCACCUCCCUCACUCUGUCACUAGUCACCCCUUCCCUCCCUCACUCUGUCACUAGUCACCCCCUCCCUCUCUCUGUCACUAGUCACACCCU